CGGCUUCAACGAAGGAACCUUCCAUUUCUCUUCCAGAAAUCGAUUUCCAGAAAAGGUAGAUUUAAAAUUGGUAAAAAUGGAGGAUAGAGGAGAAUCGUUCGUGGCAGUGAGGAGGAUAUCCCAAGGAUUUGAAAGAGGGAAUAGUACUUGCCAUUCAUCUUCUGAGGUCAUGGCAGGAUCAACAGCAUGGCUUGGCAGAGGCCUUUCAUGCGUUUGUGCCCAGGGAACCGAUAUUGAUACGCGUCGAUCAUUUGAUGUGACACCAGCUCAGGAGGAAUGCUUGCAAAAACUACAAAACCGUAUAGAUGUUGCAUAUGAUGGUUCAAUUCCUGAACAUCAGGAAGCUUUAAGAGCACUGUGGAAAGCUGCCUUCCCUGUGGAGGAACUCCAUGGUUUAAUAUCUGAGCAAUGGAAGGAUAUGGGUUGGCAAGGAGCAAAUCCAUCAACUGACUUCAGGGGUUGUGGAUUCAUUUCUCU
rnacentral:misc_RNA from 1 species